UCGAGAAUAUUUAGCAAUGGACGAAAGUCUGACUAUGCGACGCCGCGUGAGGGAUGAAGUAUUUCGGUACGUAAACCUCUUUCGAUAGGGAAGAAACUAACUAUAGUAAUAUAGGAACUGACGGUACCUAGAGAAGAAGCCAUGGCCAACUCCGUGCCAGCAGCCGCGGUAAUACGGGGAUGGCGAGCGUUACUCGGAUUUACUGGGUGUAAAGGGCAGGUAGGCGGCUCUGCAAGUUGAAGGUGAAAUGCUCUGACUCAAUCAGAGAACUGCCUUCAAAACUAUAGAGCUUGAGGAUUUGAGAGGAGAGCGGAAUUCCCGGUGUAAGGGUGAAAUCUGUAGAUAUCGGGAGGAACACCCGUGGCGAAAGCGGCUCUCUGGCAAAUCCCUGACGCUGAUC
rnacentral:rRNA from 1 species